rnacentral:misc_RNA from 1 species
GAUGAAGAACGCAGCGAAAUGCGAUAAGUAGUGUGAAUUGCAGAAUUCAGUGAAUCAUCGAAUCUUUGAACGCACAUUGCGCCCAUUAGUAUUCUAGUGGGCAUGCCUGUUCGAGCGUCAUUUCAACCCUUAAGCCUAGCUUAGUAUUGGGAAUCGACUUUACUGUCGUUCCUCAAAUUCAACGGCGGAUUUAUAGCAAUCUCUGAACGUAGUAAUUUUUUUCCUCGUUUUUGAAAUACUAUAAACCUCAGCCGCUAAACCCCCAAUUUUUUUAUGGUUGACCUCGGAUCAGGUAGGAAUACCCGCUGAACUUAAGCAUAUCAAUAAGCGGAGGA